CCGAGAGCCCUGGAAACGGAAGUCUGUCUCCAGAAAGGUUCAGCAUGGACAGCAGUGAUGCUUGUUUUUCUGAUCUCCCUCAUGUCUGUCCUGAUAGCGUGGAGGUACCUUUCAAAGUGUGAGGGUAGUUCAGUCUUCUUACCCAUUCAAUCCUUGGAUUUU
rnacentral:sRNA from 1 species